CUAAGGUAGCGAAAUUCCUUGUCAGGUAAAUUCUGACCCGCACGAAUGGCGUAACGACUUGGGCGCUGUCUCAACGAGAGAUCCGGUGAAAUUUUAAUACCUGUGAAGAUGCAGGUUACCCGCGACAAGACGGAAAGACCCCAUGGAGCUUUACUGCAGCUUGAUAUUGAAUUUGGGUACGAUCUGUACAGGAUAGGUGGGAGCCUUUGAAACGUGAGCGCCAGCUUGCGUGGAGGCACCGUUGGGAUACCACCCUGAUCGUAUCUAGGUUCUAACCUGGUACCGUAAUCCGGUGCGGGGACAGUGUCAGGUGGGCAGUUUGACUGGGGCGGUCGCCUCCUAAAGAGUAACGGAGGCGCCCAAAGGUUCCCUCAGAAUGGUUGGAAAUCAUUCGAAGAGUGCAAAGGCAUAAGGGAGCUUGACUGCGAGACCUACAAGUCGAGCAGGGACGAAAGUCGGGCUUAGUGAUCCGGUGGUACCGCAUGGAAGGGCCAUCGCUCAACGGAUAAAAGCUACCCUGGGGAUAACAGGCUUAUCUCCCCCAAGAGUCCACAUCGACGGGGAGGUUUGGCACCUCGAUGUCGGCUCAUCGCAUCCUGGGGCUGAAGUAGGUCCCAAGGGUUGGGCUGUUCGCCCAUUAAAGCGGUACGCGAGCUGGGUUCAGAACGUCGUGAGACAGUUCGGUCCCUAUCUGUCGUGGGCGUAGGAAAUUUGAGAGGAGCUGUCCUUAGUACGAGAGGACCGGGAUGGACGUACCGCUGGUGUACCAGUUGUUCCGCCAGGAGCACCGCUGGGUAGCUAUGUACGGAAGGGAUAAGCGCUGAAAGCAUCUAAGCGUGAAGCCCCCCUCAAGAUGAGAUUUCCCAGUAUGUAAGACCCCUUGAAGACGACGAGGUAGAUAGGCUGGGGGUGGAAGUGCAGCAAUGCAUGGAGCUGACCAGUACUAAUCGGUCGAGGGCUUAUCCAAG
rnacentral:rRNA from 1 species